rnacentral:lncRNA from 1 species
UGAGGGCUUGCUUUACUUAGUUUCGUGUAAGGAUGCCUUAAUCGUACACCAAUUGAGAACGGAAUUUAAGCAUGCCAAGAAAGAAAUUGAUCGAUUUGCGGUAGCAUCUAGAGCAAAGUUAUACGACAAUUGCUUGAUUAUCAAUGGAUGUCGCCAAUAACAAGAAGUGGACAUAGCUAAGAGGGCAAAGGCCGAUAGAAG